UUAAGAAAAGUUAGCAUUAUAACUUGUAUACAAGUUGACAUUAUAAAAGGUCCAGGUGGUUCAGGUCCACAUAAUCCAUUGUAAUUUGUCACCAUUUCUCUUCUCUCCCCAUUAACUCUUUGUCCUUCUGCUGUUCUUUAUUCUUUAACUUCUUCCAUCUUAAUAACACCCAGUGUUGUCAAAAUGGCGCUCGGGUCGCUCGGGUCGCCCGGGUCGAGACUGUCACCGCCCCAACAUGGGUGGGUUGAUCGAGGUACGGGGUCGCCGCCGGGUCGCCUGGGUCGAGAUACAGAUUUUAAUUCUAAUUCGGCCUCUACAAGCAGCUUGUACCACUUUAUCUACCUAUAGGCUAUAUGUAUUGAAACUUUAUUUGAUAUAUUGUAAACAUUAGAGUAAUA